rnacentral:rRNA from 1 species
GGACGAACGCUGGUGGCGUGCUUAACACAUGCAAGUCGAACGGAAAGGCUCCUUCGGGGGUACUCGAGUGGCGAACGGGUGAGUAACACGUGGGUGAUCUGCCCCUGACUUUGGGAUAAGCCUGGGAAACUGGGUCUAAUACCGGAUAUGACCUGCCCUUGCAUGGGGGUUGGUGGAAAGCUUUUGCGGUCAGGGAUGGGCCCGCGGCCUAUCAGCUUGUUGGUGGGGUAAUGGCCUACCAAGGCGACGACGGGUAGCCGACCUGAGAGGGUGAUCGGCCACACUGGGACUGAGACACGGCCCAGACUCCUACGGGAGGCAGCAGUAAGGAAUCUUCCACAAUGGGCGAAAGCCUGAUGGAGCAACGCCGCGUGCAGGACGAAGGCCUUCGGGUUGUAAACUGCUUUUAUUAGUGAAGAAUAUGACGGUAACUAAUGAAUAAGGAUCGGCUAACUACGUGCCAGCAGCCGCGGUCAUACGUAGGAUCCAAGCGUUAUCCGGAGUGACUGGGCGUAAAGAGUUGCGUAGGUGGUUUGUUAAGUGAAUAGUGAAACCUGGAGGCUCAACCUUACAGACUAUUAUUCAAACUGGCAAACUCGAGAACAGCAGAGGUAACUGGAAUUUCUGAAGUAGGGGUAAUAUCCGUAGAUAUCAGAAGGAACACCAAUGGCGUAGGCAGGUUACUGGGCUGUUUCUGACACUGAGGCACGAAAGCGUGGGGAGCGAACCGGAUUAGAUACCCGGGUAGUCCACGCCGUAAACGAUGGAUACUAGCUGUAGGAGGUAUCGACCCCUUCUGUAGCGAAGCUAACGCGUUAAGUAUCCCGCCUGUGGAGUACGGCCGCAAGGCUAAAACAUAAAGGAAUUGACGGGGACCCGCACAAGCGGUGGAUCAUGUCCUUUAAUUCGAUGCUAAACGAAGAACCUUACCAGGGUUUGACAUCCUUGGAAUCUUUCCGAAAGGAGAGAGUGCUUUAUUGAACCAAGUGACAGAUGAUGCAUGGCCGUCGUCAGCUCGUGUCGUGAGAUGUUUGGUUAAGUCCAUCAACGAGCGCAACCCUUGUGAUUAGUUGUAUUUUUCUAAUCAGACUGCCCCGGUAACGGGGAGGAAGGAGGGGAUGAUGUCAGGUCAGUAUUUCUCUUACAUCCUGGGCUAGAAACGUGAUACAAUGGCGAGUACAAUGCGCUGCGAAGCCGCGAGGUGAAGCAAAUCGCGCCAAAGCUCGUCCCAGUUCGGAUAAGAGGCUGAAACUCGCCUCUUUGAAGUCGGAAUCGCUAGUAAUCGCAAGUCAGCAAAUUGCGGUGAAUACGUUCCCGGGUCU